GUUGUGUAUGCAAUAUAUGUUUUGUUUCACAUAUUAUAUCUGAAAAUAAAACUAUUAAAAAAAUACAUAUUUUUAGCCAAGUAUUCACAUAACACAUCUCAUAACCUUGCACUACAGUUUUAUGUGAUGAAAUAAGUCGUCUUUUGUCUGAAAUAAUAUGAACAGCAGCUAUGCUAAUCUUUCUCCUUUUGUUUUCCUGUUUCUAUCUCGGGAUGCCCAUCUCAAGGUUACUAGAGGUUACGCCAGUUCCAGCCGCACUUGUGAAGACUUCAGAAGAUGCCAACACUCAAGAAGACUUCAGAGGACGGCAACUGUACAUGAACAUACAACACUGACAAAUAUUAUCCUUAUAUUGCCUUUAUGUCAAACCCUGAGAAUAAAGAGAGAUGAUCUGCUGAUGAUCCUGAAUAUCUUGUUGGAUAAGUGUUGAUCGUCUGAGGCUCAUCAAUAUUAACCAGAGGUGGGAGUAAGUCACGCAUGUGCAAGUCACAACGCAUUUUCAAGAACCCAAGGAUGCUUUACAAAAUAAUACAAGGAACUGGCAAACAAAAUACACCAGACAAUCAGACAAACAAGUGUUGACAACAAAGAACUACAGAUAAUUAACAACAAGAGGUCAUGCAAUCAUAUGAUGAACAUCAAUUAUGUCAAGAAGGUGGUCACGUGUCAUACAGACAGAAAUCUGGAAAUUGAGAAGCAGCAUUAUUUUUUCCUCUUGAUUUAUCAUAAACUUGACAUAAGUUGUUUUCUCGUGAUCAUAGACAUAACAAAAUAGCUGGUAACUUCAGAAAGUAAAAAUAAAAUAAUAACACUUGGCUUCUUCUCAGGGCUUUUCUGAUUGGAUAGUUAAAAACACCUAUCCUGGUGUGAACACGCCCUCUAAAAUUUGGCUUACCCACCGCCAAUAAACGCUACAAGAAGAAGAAGAAGAAAACGCCCUCUUUUUGUUCUUGAGCUCGACGGCUGCAGUCCUGGAUUCAGUGAGAGCUGAGUAACAAAUCACUUUCAGGAGGAACCCUGAACAAAGAGUCAUCAAAGCUUUCGGACGCAGCUGCAGCGAUCUUCUGAGGAGAGAGUUAAAUGAAGAAAAUGAGGAGAAUGAAGAACUGAGUGAAAUUGAGGAAAGAAAGUGUGACAAAAGUAGAGAAGAACCUUGGAGUUGCUCUCAAACCAAACAGAAAGGUUUAAAGAAAAGAAGAGCCAAUAAAUAUUUCACCUGCACUCAGUGUGGAAAGAGUUUGACAAGCAAAUAUGGUCUUAAUAUUCAUAUGAAAGUUCAUACUGGAGAGAAACAAUUCACUUGUGAUCAGUGCGGGAAGAGUUUCUCACG